rnacentral:rRNA from 1 species
AUGAACGCUGGCGGCGUGCCUAAUACAUGCAAGUCGAGCGAACAGACGAGGAGCUUGCUCCUCUGACGUUAGCGGCGGACGGGUGAGUAACACGUGGAUAACCUACCUAUAAGACUGGGAUAACUUCGGGAAACCGGAGCUAAUACCGGAUAAUAUCUUGAACCGCAUGGUUCAAUAGUGAAAGACGGUUUUGCUGUCACUUAUAGAUGGAUCCGCGCCGCAUUAGCUAGUUGGUAAGGUAACGGCUUACCAAGGCAACGAUGCGUAGCCGACCUGAGAGGGUGAUCGGCCACACUGGAACUGAGACACGGUCCAGACUCCUACGGGAGGCAGCAGUAGGGAAUCUUCCGCAAUGGGCGAAAGCCUGACGGAGCAACGCCGCGUGAGUGAUGAAGGUCUUCGGAUCGUAAAACUCUGUUAUUAGGGAAGAACAAAUGUGUAAGUAACUAUGCACGUCUUGACGGUACCUAAUCAGAAAGCCACGGCUAACUACGUG